UGUGGGAGCGAGCUUGCUCGCGAUGACGGCAUGGCAUUCAGCAUCAAUGUUGACUGACCCACCGCUAUCGCGAGCAAGCUCGCUCCCACA
rnacentral:misc_RNA from 1 species